rnacentral:tRNA from 1 species
GGGGUUGUGGCUCAGCAGUAGAGCGCUCACCUAGUAUGUGAGAGGUCCUGAGUUCAAUUCUCAAGCACCA